rnacentral:rRNA from 1 species
AUUGAACGCUGGCGGCAGGCCUAACACAUGCAAGUCGAGCGGCAGCGGGAAGUAGCUUGCUACUUUGCCGGCGAGCGGCGGACGGGUGAGUAAUGUCUGGGAAACUGCCUGAUGGAGGGGGAUAACUACUGGAAACGGUAGCUAAUACCGCAUAACGUCGCAAGACCAAAGAGGGGGACCUUCGGGCCUCUUGCCAUCAGAUGUGCCCAGAUGGGAUUAGCUAGUAGGUGGGGUAACGGCCCACCUAGGCGACGAUCCCUAGCUGGUCUGAGAGGAUGACCAGCCACACUGGAACUGAGACACGGUCCAGACUCCUACGGGAGGCAGCAGUGGGGAAUAUUGCACAAUGGGCGCAAGCCUGAUGCAGCCAUGCCGCGUGUAUGAAGAAGGCCUUCGGGUUGUAAAGUACUUUCAGCGGGGAGGAAGGCGUUGUGGUUAAUAACCACAGCGAUUGACGUUACCCGCAGAAGAAGCACCGGCUAACUUCGUGCCAGCCGCCGCAGUAAAAC